CUGCUGGUGGCUUAGUGGUUAAGCAUUCGGCUGCUAACCAAAAAGGCUGGCAGUUCAAAUCCACCAGCUGC
rnacentral:tRNA from 1 species